CAGCCGCCACGGUAAUACGAAGGGUGCAAGCGUUACUCGGAAUUACUGGGCGUAAAGCGCACGUAGGCGGCUUUGUAAGUUAGAGGUGAAAGCCCGGAGCUCAACUCCGGAAUUGCCUUUAAGACUGCAGAGCUAGCAGGUGAGAGAGGUGAGUGGAAUUCCGAGUGUAGAGGUGAAAUUCGUAGAUAUUCGGAAGAACACCAGUGGCGAAGGCGGCUUACUGGCUCAUACUGGACGCUGAGGUGCGAAAGCGUGGGGAGCAAACAGGAUUAGAUACCCCCGUAGUCCCUGUCUCUUAUAC
rnacentral:rRNA from 1 species